rnacentral:rRNA from 1 species
GAUGAACGCUGGCGGCGUGCCUAAUACAUGCAAGUCGAGCGAACAGACGAGAGUGCUUGCACUCUCUGACGUUAGCGGCGGACGGGUGAGUAACACGUGGGUAACCUACCUAUAAGACUGGGAUAACUUCGGGAAACCGGAGCUAAUACCGGAUAAUAUUUAGCUUCGCAUGAAGCAAUAGUGAAAGACGGUUCUGCUGUCACUUAUAGAUGGACCCGCGGUGUAUUAGCUAGUUGGUGAGGUAACGGCUCACCAAGGCAACGAUACAUAGCCGACCUGAGAGGGGGGUCGGCCACACGGGGACUGGGACACGGCCACGACUCCUACGGGAGGCAGCAGUAGGGAAUCUUCCGCAAUGGACGAAAGUCUGACGGAGCAAUGCCGCGUGAGUGAAGAAGGUUUUCGGAUCGUAAAACUCUGUUGUAAGGGAAGAACAAGUACGUUAGGAACUGAACGUACCUUGACGGUACCUUACCAGAAAGCCACGGCUAACUACGUG